UGGGGAAUUUUGGACAAUGGGCGCAAGCCUGAUCCAGCCAUUCCGCGUGCAGGAUGAAGGCCUUCGGGUUGUAAACUGCUUUUGUACGGAACGAAACGACCUUCUCUAAUACAGGGGGUUAAUGACGGUACCGUAAGAAUAAGCACCGGCUAACUACGUGCCAGCAGCCGCGGUAAUACGUAGGGUGCGAGCGUUAAUCGGAAUUACUGGGCGUAAAGCGUGCGCAGGCGGUGAUGUAAGACAGGUGUGAAAUCCCCGGGCUUAACCUGGGAACUGCACUUGUGACUGCAUUGCUGGAGUACGGCAGAGGGGGAUGGAAUUCCGCGUGUAGCAGUGAAAUGCGUAGAUAUGCGGAGGAACACCGAUGGCGAAGGCAAUCCCCUGGGCCUGUACUGACGCU
rnacentral:rRNA from 1 species